rnacentral:lncRNA from 1 species
AUGGGGGGCAGAGCAGAAUCCACACUGGGAGGCCAGGGCUCCCCAACCUCCCCAUUGGGCCAUUCAGCAACCCCGAAUGUGCAGGGGACCAAGGAGGGGUUUGGAGGAGGGGGAAGACAGGUGGGGGAGGGGAGGCCCCGGCCCAGCGGCCUCUGUGGUCAAAGGGGGGAUGCCCCCCCCAUCCUGUCCUGGGCAGCUGCUGUCCUGGUCACAGGGUCUGAAACCGGAGCCCCCGAGUGGGGGUGGGGCGGCAGCUCUGGCCUGGAAAGGGGGCGGGUCCUGUACCGGGUGGGAGUUGGGGAACACAGGGGUCCCCGGAACCCAGGCCCUUCCGGUCCGGCAGCUCCUGCUGCGACUUGCAGCGUUUGGGGAAAGUUACUCACCAACCAGUCAUGCGCCUCGGAUGCCGCCGGCCACGGGGCUCCCGGAGGGGGGUCCGACACCGCCCGGUGCCCGGGAUCCCCAAUCUGGCCGGUGGAUGAGGCCCCAUCCCAUGCACCCCAGUCCGGAGAACGGGGGGUUACUAUUAAUUCAGGAUUCCAUCCCCACCCGAGGCAGGAGGACACCCAGUGCGUGCCCCAACUCCGGGAUGCGUGCCCUGCCCCUGGAACUUCCGAGAUUCCCGCGACGCCCCCUGUCUCUGGGUCAAGAACUUCGGGGGACACCUCUUCUGCCUCCUCCAACCCCAGGAAACGGAAGAGAUCAACUUCAGGAGGGAACGGGAAGCAAGACAAAGAGAGAAACCUUCCUGUCUGUCCUCCUGACCACCCCAUCCCUGAGCAGGGACGUCUGUCCACCUCUGUCCCUCCCAAGACGAUGGUAAAAACGCCCACAAUGGUUGAAUUACGGUGAUCAUUGCUGUUAUUUGAGGUUUCCAGGAUCCAAAGGUUGAAGGAAUGUCUCCAAGGCAUGGUUGUAUCCCCUCAGCCUCCACUGUCACCUCUGGUCACAGGGAGCGCCCCUUUCCCACACUUUCCAGGAGAGCGUCCUUCUGGAGUUGAGCUGAGAUCCACCUCCCCAGCCCCAUGGGUCCCACUUGUCAAUCCUGGUGCCAGCCCCUCUCUGGCACCUUCUCCAAAAUCACACAGUGCCGUUGGUUCGUUCAUGGGCAUAGGCCCGGAGCUCCCUGGAAUCAAGGCCUGUGGCGCCCUAAAGCUCUGACCUUACAUUUGAGUUUUUCUUUUUUUUCCCUUUCUUUCUUUUUUUUUUUUUUUUUUUUUUGAGACAAAGUCUCACUCUGUUGCCCAGGCUGGAGUGCAGUGGCACAAUCUCAGUUUACUGCAGCCUCUGCCUCCCAGAUUCAAGUGAUUCUCCUGCCUCAGCCUCCCGAGUAGCUGGGACUACAGGUUCAUGCCACCACACCUGGCUGAUUUUUGUAUUUUUAAUAAAGAUGGGGUUUCGCCAUGUUGCCCAGUCUGGUCUCGAACUCCUGACCUCAAGUGAUCCGGCCCCCCUCGGCCUCCCAAAGUGAUGGGAUUACAGACGUGAGCCACUGCACCUGGCUAACACUUAAGUUUUUUGACAACUUCAGAGAGGCUUUUGCUUUUCAUCUCCAAGACCUCUGCUCCUGUCUCCUUUCCCUGUUCCUUUAUUUCUGCUUCCUUCUAAGAAGAAUAGUAUAUCUGAGCUGGCAGUUACAUUCGAAUUACCUUUAGGUGAAUUCCAGGUCAGAUUGUCUUUGGAGAUUGACUCCUGGACCAAGAUCUGAGUCUUCCCCCGUCCAGGCUUUUGCCCAAACUGUUCCGUCCACCUGGAAUGCCCUCUCUGCAGGCAUGUCUUCCACCUUAUCCUUCCAGGCUCAGCGCCACCACCCUGUCUCCUCCUCUAGGAAGCCUCUCUGACUACCCUGGCCUUGGAAGGGACCUUUCCCUCCCCUGUCCCAAUCCCUGUGACUCUUUCUUUCUUUCUUUUUUAAAGUUUAUUUUUAGAGACAAGGUCUCACUAUGUUGCCCAGGCUGGUCUCGAACUCCUGAGCUCAAGUGAUCGUCCCGCCUCAGCCUCCCAAAGUGCUGGGAUGACAGGGGUGAACCCAAACCCU